rnacentral:rRNA from 1 species
CCCUUAGACGUUCUGGGCCGCACGCGCGCUACACUGACGAAGGCAACGAGCUUUCCUUUACCGAAAGGUACGGGUAAUCUUUUGAAACUUCGUCGUGCUGGGGAUAGAUCCUUGCAAUUUUUGAUCUUAAACGAGGAAUGCCUAGUAAGCGCAAGUCAUCAACUUGCGUUGAUUACGUCCCUGCCCUUUGUACACACCGCUCGUCGCUACUACCGAUUGAAUGGUUUAGUGAGGCCUUCGGAUCCGCGACUCGUUUUGUGGAGAAGUUGGACAAACUCAGUCAUUUAGAGGAAGUAAAAGUCGUAACA